UACGUAGGUGGCAAGCGUUGUCCGGAUUUACUGGGCGUAAAGAGCGCGCAGGCGGCUGGUCAAGUCCGAUGUGAAAUCUCCCGGCUCAACUGGGAAACUGCAUCGGAAACUGAUCGGCUUGAAGGUGGGAGAGGGUAGUGGAAUUCCCGGUGUAGUGGUGAAAUGCGUAGAGAUGGGGGAGAACACUCGUGGCGAAGGCGGCCAGCUGGACCAGUACUGACGCUGAGACGCGAAAGCGUGGGGAGCAAACAGG
rnacentral:rRNA from 1 species